GUGGGGAAUAUUGGGCAAUGGAGGGAACUCUGACCCAGCAACGCCGCGUGAGUGAAGAAGGUUUUCGGAUUGUAAAACUCUUUAAGCGGGGACGAAGAAAGUGACUGUACCCGCAGAAUAAGCAUCGGCUAACUACGUGCCAGCAGCCGCGGUAAUACGUAGGAUGCAAGCGUUAUCCGGAAUGACUGGGCGUAAAGGGUGCGUAGGUGGUUUGCCAAGUUGGCAGCGUAAUUCCGUGGCUUAACCGCGGAACUACUGCCAAAACUGGUAGGCUUGAGUGCGGCAGGGGUAUGUGGAAUUCCUAGUGUAGCGGUGGAAUGCGUAGAUAUUAGGAGGAACACCGGUGGCGAAAGCGACAUACUGGGCCGUAACUGACACUGAGGCACGAAAGCGUGGGGAGCAAACAGGA
rnacentral:rRNA from 1 species